rnacentral:rRNA from 1 species
GCGAGACGGCGACGUUAAGCAAAUCACAAAAACCCAGUCCCAGUUCGGAUUGCAGUCUGCAACUCGACUGCAUGAAGCUGGAAUCGCUAGUAAUCGCGGAUCAGAAUGCCGCGGUGAAUACGUUCCCGGGUCUUGUACACACCGCCCGUCACACCAUGGGAGUCGGAAAUGCCCGAAGUCUGUGACCCAACCGAAAGGAGGGAGCAGCCGAAGGCAGGUCGGAUGACUGGGGUGAAGUCGUAACAAGGUACC